rnacentral:lncRNA from 1 species
AUCCCCACAUAAAAUAUGAAUGCAGCAGUGUGUGCUGAAAUCCAGCUCUGGGGAGGCAGAAACAAGAGGAUUCUGAGCAAAAUGUGAACUUCUAGGCAUCAAAGCCGGGGUUCCCACAUCUGACAGAUAAGAUCUCUAUCACUGUGCUCAACAACAGGCCCCAGAUGAGUUGUCUAGGAGGCAAGUGAUAAUGUGGCUUUACAGUACAGACUCAAAGCCUGAGUGACUCAUGAUGUAAGUGACAGAGUUGCAAUUUGAACACACUGCAUCUGGCCAAGAAGAGAAGUGGCAAGAUCUGAAGAAGAACAAAGUAUGGAGGAAGUUAAAAGAAUACAGUGGGUUGGUGACUGGCUAAAGACACUUGCUGGGAAAGCCUGGUGACCAGAGUUUUAUCCCCAGAAUGCACGUAAAAGGGAGAGGGAGAGAACCAGCUCUACAGUUAUUCUCUGACCUCUACACGGGUACUGUGGAAUAUCAUGCACACACACAAUAAUAAUAAUAAAAUAAAAAUGUCAAAAUAUAGCCAAACAUCAGGUGUCAUGGCACAGCCUGUAAUCUUGGCACUCAUGAGGACGAGGACUGCAAGUUCAAGGUGAACCUGAGCUUCAUAGUGAGUUCCAUCCCAGCUUGAACAACCCACUGAGAUCCAGUGUCAAAGAACUAACUGGGCAUGCCAGCAAGAUGGCUCAGAGGGUAAAGGUACUCACUAACAACCUGAAUUCAAUCCGAUGUGGGACUCACAUAGUAGAAGCAAAAAACCAAUUCCGCUAAAUUGUCCUCUGACCACCACACCUGUGCUGUGGCUCAUGUGCCUGUGUACAUAGAUAUACACACACAAAAUAAGUAAACAUUGUAAGGUGGGGGUGGGGGAAGGACCCUAAAACUAACCAGGGGCUGGAGAGACGGUUCUGAUAUUAAGAGCACUUACUCUGCAAUUACAAGGACCAGAAUUGAGAAUGCAGCACUCACUUAACAAGCCAGGCAUCUCUGAAAAUGCCUCUAACUCCAACCCCAGGGUGAGUGGAAACAAGAGGAUCUGGGGGCGUGCUGGCUUUCAGCCUGAGACAGUGAGUCAGUCUUAGGUUCAAGCAAGGCACUUGCCUCAGAAGAACACGCAGAAAGUGACAGCAGAGGACACCUAAUACCCUCUUCAGGCCUGUGUGAGCUGUAUGCAGGUGCAUACACACACAACACACACACAAGAUUACGUCUAAAAGACACUAAUUUAAAAAUACAGAAUUAGAAAUGAUGACUA